UACGUAGGGUGCAAACGUUGCUCGGAAUCAUUGGGCGUAAAGCGCGCGCAGGUGGUCCUUUAAGUCUGAUGUGAAAGCCCACGGCUCAACCGUGGAGGGUCAUUGGAAACUGGGGGACUUGAGUGCAGAAGAGGAUAGUGGAAUUCCAAGUGUAGCGGUGAAAUGCGUAGGGAUUUGGAGGAACACCAGUGGCGAAGGCGGACUAUCUGGUCUGUAACUGACACUGAGGCGCGAAGCGUGG
rnacentral:rRNA from 1 species